AGAGUUUGAUCCUGGCUCAGGAUGAACGCUGGCUGUGUGCCUAAUACAUGCAUGUUGAACGAAGCUAAAAGUGCUUGCACUUUAAGACUUAGUAGCGAAUGGGUGAGUAACACGUACUUAACCUACCCCCAAGUUUGGGAUAACGUUUGGAAACGAACGCUAAUACCGAAUACGUAUUUUUAUCGCAUGAUAGAAAUAUAAAAGGAGCUUCGGCUUCGCUAGGGGAUGGGAGUGCGCUACAUUAGUUAGUUGGUAGGGUAAUGGCCUACCAAGACUAUGAUGUAUAGCGGGGCCGAGAGGCUGAUCCGCCACACUGGGACUGAGAUACGGCCCAGACUCCUACGGGAGGCAGCAGUAGGGAAUUUUCCACAAUGAACGAAAGUUUGAUGGAGCGACACAGCGUGCAGGAUGAAGGUCUUCGGAUCGUAAACCGCUGUUAUAAGGGAAGAAAAACUUUAGUAGGUAAUGACUAGAACUUGACGGUACCUUAUCAGAAAGCGACGGCUAACUAUGUGCCAGCAGCCGCGGUAAU
rnacentral:rRNA from 1 species